rnacentral:rRNA from 1 species
UACGUAGGUGGCAAGCGUUGUCCGGAUUUACUGGGCGUAAAGGGCGUGCAGGCGGUUUGUUAAGUGCAGGGUGAAAGCUCCCGGCUCAACUGGGAGAGGUCCUUGCAUACUGGCAGACUUGAGGGAGGCAGAGGAAAGUGGAAUUCCCGGUGUAGUGGUGAAAUGCGUAGAUAUCGGGAGGAACAUCAGUGGCGAAGGCGGCUGCCUGGCACAAUACUGACACUCAGGUGCGACAGCGUGGGGAGCAAACAGG